rnacentral:rRNA from 1 species
GAUCCUGGCUCAGGACGAACGCUGGCGGCGUGCUUAACACAUGCAAGUCGAGCGAGGAAAUUCUUUCGGGGAUUUCCUAGCGGCGGACGGGUGAGUAACACGUGGGCAACCUGCCUGAUAGAGGGGGAUAGCCUCCCGAAAGGGAGAUUAAUACCGCAUAAAGUCAAAUGAAGGCAUCUUCAAAUGACCAAAGGAGUAAUCCGCUAUCAGAUGGGCCCGCGGCGCAUUAGCUAGUUGGUGAGGUAACGGCUCACCAAGGCGACGAUGCGUAGCCGACCUGAGAGGGUGAUCGGCCACAUUGGGACUGAGACACGGCCCAGACUCCUACGGGAGGCAGCAGUGGGGAAUAUUGCACAAUGGGGGAAACCCUGAUGCAGCAACGCCGCGUGAGUGAUGAAGGCCUUCGGGUUGUAAAGCUCUGUCUUCAGGGACGAUAAUGACGGUACCUGAGGAGGAAGCCACGGCUAACUACGUGCCAGCAGCCGCGGUAAUACGUAGGUGGCAAGCGUUGUCCGGAUUUACUGGGCGUAAAGGGAGCGUAGGCGGAUACUUAAGUGGGACGUGAAAUACCUGGGCUUAACUUGGGUGCUGCAUUCCAAACUGGGUG